rnacentral:tRNA from 10 species
UCGCGCAUGGGGUGGAUUCACAAUCCACUGCCUUAAUCCACUUGGCUACAUCCGCC